rnacentral:rRNA from 1 species
CGAUACUUGGUGUGAAUUGCAGAAUUCAGUGAAUCAUCGAGUCUUUGAACGCACAUUGCGCCCCCUGGUAUUCCGGGGGGCAUGCCUGUCCGAGCGUCAUUGCUGCCCUCAAGCACGGCUUGUGUGUUGGGCCCCGUCCCCUCCCCCGGGGACGGGCCCGAAAGGCAGCGGCGGCACCGCGUCCGGUCCUCGAGCGUAUGGGGCUUUGUCACCCGCUCUGUAGGCCCGGCCGGCGCCAGCCGACACCCAACUUUAUUUUCUAAGGUUGACCUCGGAUCAGGUAGGGAUACCCGCUGAACUUAAGCAUAUCAAUAAGCGGAGGAA